AUACGUAGGGUGCGAGCGUUGUCCGGAAUUACUGGGCGUAAAGAGCUCGUAGGUGGUUUGUCGCGUCGUCUGUGAAAUUCCGGGGCUUAACUCCGGGCGUGCAGGCGAUACGGGCAUAACUUGAGUACUGUAGGGGAGACUGGAAUUCAUGGUGUAGCGGUGAAAUGCGCAGAUAUGAGGAGGAAAACCGGUGGCGAAGGCGGGUCUCUGGGCAGUAACUGACGCUGAGGAGCGAAAGCAUGGGUAGCGAACAGGAUUAGAUACCCUGGUAGUCCAUGCCGUAAACGGUGGGCGCUAGGUGUAGGGGUCUUCCACGACUUCUGUGCCGUAGCUAACGCAUUAAGCGCCCCGCCUGGGGAGUACGGCCGCAAGGCUAAAACUUAAAGGAAUUGACGGGG
rnacentral:rRNA from 1 species